rnacentral:rRNA from 1 species
GCCCUUAGAGUUUGAUCCUGGCUCAGGAUGAACGCUGGCGGUAUGCUUUACACAUGCAAGUCGUACGAGAGUUUUUAACUCAAGUGGCGGACGGGUGGAGUAACACGUAAGAAUUUGCCUUUAGGAGGAGGAUAACAACUGGAAACGGUUGCUAAUACCCCAUAUGCUUUCGAGUAAAAUGGAUUUUCCGCCUAAAGAGAAGCUUGCGGCUGAUUAGCUUGUUGGUGAGGUAAUGGCUCACCAAGGCGACGAUCAGUAUCUGGUUUGAGAGGACGAUCAGACACACUGGAACUGAGACACGGUCCAGACUCCUACGGGAGGCAGCAGUGGGGAAUUUUCCGCAAUGGGCGAAAGCCUGACGGAGCAAUACCGCGUGAGGGAUGACGGCCUAUGGGUUGUAAACCUCUUUUUUCAGGGAGGAAUCAAUGACGUGUACCUGAAGAAUAAGCAUCGGCUAACUCCGUGCCAGCAGCCGCGGUAAGACGGAGGAUGCAAGUGUUAUCCGGAAUCACUGGGCGUAAAGCGUCUGUAGGUGGUCAAAUAAGUCAACUGUUAAAUCUUGAGGCUCAACCUCAAAAUCGCAGUCGAAACUAUUCGACUAGAGUAUAGUAGGGGUAAAGGGAAUUUCCAGUGGAGCGGUGAAAUGCGUAGAGAUUGGAAAGAACACCGAUGGCGAAAGCACUUUACUGGGCUAUUACUAACACUGAGAGACGAAAGCUAGGGUAGCAAAUGGGAUUAGAUACCCCAGUAGUCCUAGCCGUAAACAAUGGAUACUAGAUGUUGAACAGAUCGACCUGUGCAGUAUCAAAGCUAACGCGUUAAGUAUCCCGCCUGGGAAGUAUGCUCGCAAGAGUGAAACUCAAAUGAAUUGACGGGGAAGGGC